GUGCUCACUUUGGCAGCACAUGUACUAAAAUUGGAACGAUACAGAGAAGUUUAGCAUGGCCCCUGUGCAAGGAUGACAUACAAAUUCAUGAAGUUCCAUAUUUUUGU
rnacentral:snRNA from 1 species